CCACCGCCUUUCAUCCACCCGUGCUGCCACCUCUCGCCUUCUUACCAGUCCUCCCCACCCCUCAGCAUCCCAACCGCGUUACCCUCCCUCAGUCUCCGAUGCUGCAUGAAAGAUUUCUCUCUCUUCCCACGGGAAACGCGAAAAAAAUCCAGUAUUAAUUGACGCUCGCUGUAAAUUAACGCGCUAAUGCCUUCAAAUAUGAAUCAUGCGUCUGAUAUUCCAUCUGUGUCUGCUCGCUAGCAUAUUUAUUUCCGUGCUGUCUUCAAUCGCCUCAACCUUAACUGUUUCCAGCUCCGUGCAGUAUGAGGAUCUCAGGGAUCAGCACGUGUCUGAGACCCCGCAAGAAGCGACAGCAUCAGCAGCGCCGGACAGUUUCACGCGAAAAUUGAGUGAGCACGAGGUCACAAUCACCUAUCCCUCGCGGCUCAUCUACUACUUAAAUGAGGAAUUGGAAAGCGCGUGUCAUGAUCUGGACACUCGCGCGCGGUACCAAGCUGGCGAUGGACAGGAAGUCCACCUUGCCCAAGCAAGUUUCCAGCUCGAAGCCUUUGGCUCCACAUUCACUUUGGACCUUACUUUGAACAAUGAUCUGUUGUCUUCAGACUACAUGGAGAUCCACUAUGAAAAGGAUAAGCCAGUUCUCUCCAGGGGUGGGGAACACUGUUACUACCAUGGCCAUGUAAGAGGAAAAGAGGAGUCCCGUGUAGCUCUAUCCACCUGCAAUGGGCUUCAUGGGAUCUUUGAUGAUGGUAAUUUUACUUAUAUCAUCGAACCUAUGAAACAGACUCACACAGAGGAAACAGAGGCUCGUCCCCACACUUUGCAACGCACAUCAUCACUCCAUAUGACCUCUGUCCCAGAUGUCUGGGCUGCUGAUGACCCAGUUGAAAAAGAUGAAAAAGAAGAGGAGAAAUUGAUUUUUGCUAACAUGCCUUGGCUGAAGAGAAGAAGGAAAAGAGCUAUGCCACGUAACAUUUUUGAGGAAAUGAAGUAUUUGGAAAUAAUGAUUGUCGCUGACCACAACACGUUUAAAAGGCAUAAGAGUAAAAAGCAUACCCGGAACUCGGCCAAAUCAGUGGUCAACUUGGUAGACGCUAUUUUUAAGGAGCAGCUUAAUACUCGGGUAGUUUUGGUUGGUGUUGAGAUUUGGACAGACAGGGACCGGAUUCCGCUACGUGUGAAGCCACUGGAAAUGUUAAGAGAUUUUUCAAAGUACCGACAACAAAACAUCAACAUAAAUGCUGAUGCUGUGCACCUUUUCACGAAUGUGACAUUUCAUUAUGGUCGGAGCAGUGUUGCAUAUAUUGGUGGUGUAUGUUCCAAAGGUCGAGGAGUCGGUGUCAAUGAGUUUGGCAGCACAUGGACAAUGGCUGCCUCUCUCUCUCAGAGCUUAGCACAAAAUCUGGGUAUCCAGUGGGAUCCUGUGAUCAGGAGAAAGGAGUGCGGCUGCAUGGAUUCAUGGGUGGGAUGUAUAAUGGAAGACACUGGAGUGCAACACCCACGCAGGUUUUCUAAAUGCAGCAUCACUGACUACAGAAACUUCCUUUUAAGAGGGGGUGCUUCAUGUCUGUUCAACAAACCCAGCAAGCUUUUUGAGACUACAGAAUGUGGGAAUGGUUAUGUGGAGGUGGGAGAGGAAUGUGACUGUGGGGCCCGAACGGAAUGCUAUAAAGACUGUUGUAAAAAGUGUUCUUUAUCUAAUGGAGCUCACUGCAGUGACGGCCCCUGCUGCAACGGCACGUGCCUGUUUUAUCCUCGGGGAUACAGCUGUCGAUAUGCCGUGAAUGAUUGUGACAUAUCAGAGACUUGUUCAGGAGACUCGGGACAGUGCCCCCCUAAUCUUCAUAAACAAGAUGGCUACCCUUGCCAGCUUAAUCAGGGCCGAUGUUAUAGUGGUGAAUGUAAGACCCGGGACAGUCAGUGCAAAUACAUCUGGGGUCCAAAGGCUGGAGGUUCAGAGAAGCACUGCUAUGAGAAGUUAAAUACAGAGGGGACAGAUAAAGGAAACUGUGGGAGAGAUGGAGACAAAUGGGUCUCCUGCAGCAAACAUGAUGUAUUCUGUGGGUACCUACUCUGCUCCAAUAUUGGUAGAAUUCCAAAGAUUGGGACUCUGAAAGGUGACAUCUCUCCCACCACAUUUAACCAUCAAGGGCGACUGGUGGACUGCAGUGGAGGUCAUGUGCUGUUGGACGAUGACACUGAUCUAGGGUAUGUGGAAGACGGUACACAGUGUGGCCCCUCUAUGAUGUGCCUUGAGCGGAAAUGUCUGCCCAUCUCCUCCCUAAACCUCACAGUGUGUCCGUCUGGCCCCAGCGGACGCGUCUGCUCUUCACACGGCGUGUGCAAUAAUGAAGCAACAUGCACAUGUGAUUCUACCUGGGCAGGGACUGACUGCAGCAUGCACGACCCCCCAAAAGUGCCACCUGUCAUCGAGGACCCGGGUCCCAAGGGUCCUAGCGCCACCAACCUUAUCAUAGGCUCCAUCGCAGGAGCCAUCCUGAUGGCAGCCAUAGUGCUGGGGGGGACGGGAUGGGGAUUUAAGGUGAGAGUUUGAGCGGAGAGGGGUGGAGGUUGUGUCGUAGGCAGCCUUUGUGCCAUGGCUGGCUGCCACGCCCUCUUAUCUCCCGGAAGGCCCUGGGCCCCCCUGAAAUCCUAGAACAGAGCAAGAGCCCUCACCUCCCACCCGGACUCGCCCGGCACCGCUGCCUUUACUGCCUGCUUCACAGAGAUCUGAAAUGUCAAGAAAAGACGAUAUGACCCUAACGCCAGUGCCAUCUAAAGGCUAAGAGAACUGCUUCCUUGCCUAGCGCACCAUUGGGUUCUGUCAGAACCUGCUGGACUGUACCCUGUUCUGCUGCUAACACCGCUGCUGACAGUGUUAGCAUUACUUGACUAAAAAAAAGGAAAGCGAGAGAAGAUAGAGACAGAACGAUUGAACAUUUUUCAUCUGAAGUCAUGUAGAACUGCUUCUUUAGAGCUGACCCUGUUCCUUUGCCUACUGUCCCUGUGCAUCCACACUGAGCCAUUAGUAACCCAGAUAACUGACUGAGUGGAUGGUACCCACGGAGGACUCCACUCAUCGGGGCAUGACUUCCUGUUUAACGUGCCCUGACCUCUGGCUCCAAUUUUGGCAUGACCAGCUUCAGUGGACCUCGCAUGGCAGAGGAGGGACACCAAUCCAAGAAGAACAUAAAAAUUAAUACUGUAAAACAUAACGAUUUGGAGAAAAAUGUGUAUCAGAAUAGUGACAUAGGUCACUUCCAGUAGGUGGGUAACACAUUCCAUGAGUGUUUUGAAGGGCUGAAUAGACUUGACCACUGAGAUAAGAGAGAUUCAUAUCUUCUUCAGACAAACAUUUCAAGGCAUUAAUUUAAAGUUUGUUAUUUUAGCAUGUUAAAUUGCAGGCAUUUAUGUAGUAUUAAUAAAAACAAAGAAAAAAUGGAUCCAUUUGGCCAGCAGCGUAUAGUGCUGCAUAACAAAAUCAGCUUUAAAGUCUAGUGCUGUGGAGACACAGACUCUUACAUCUACCUGAUGACGUCAAUUGCGGUUCCCCUUAAAAAAUAACUAUUACACUGGCUUGGCUCUGUAGGACUGCCCUGACUUAAAUGCUGUUGCUGGCCAAUCAGAGAGCUGCAUGAUGUAAUUGCACUGGGGUGGAGCCACACAGCCUGCUGCGCUUUUCAAGGUAUCUGCAUGUCAAAGGAAAAACAGUUAACAUUUACUUACUAUGCAAAGGGGAAACAUUGCACAAACCGUAAGGUUUGGUGAAGAAUUCUCAAGUGAGACUUAUGGAUCAUUAAUAAAGCAGUUUUUUAUAUGCUCGGCCAUCUAUGUUUGACAUUAUUAUAAGCUUCUGAUUACUUAAAAUGAAUGUUUCUAUGAAAAUUUCAGCUUCUUAAAUUAAAAUAUCAUCGUCAUCUGUGUGGGACAGCAUAAUUUAGGCAGUAAUUGAUAUAAAUAUAACGGGAAUAUUGAAGUAGAGGGAGCUCUAAUUUUGGGCAAUGCUAAUGAAAUAUGAGCAGAGAGAGAGGGGGUGUUUUUCUAUGUCAUCACUGAUCUACACCAUCAGGUUUUCAACUUAUCUUCUUAACCUUGGCCCAUUUUACAACCAUCUCAUGUUCCCAUGGAAACAUUGCCAAAAAUAUAAAAAAUAAAUAAAUAAUGAUAAUAAAGAACUUG